CCUUUGAUAGCUCAGUUGGUAGUGGAGGACUGUAGAGGCCUACAAACUCAUCCUUAGGUUGCUGGUUUAAAUCUGGUUCGAAGGA